GACGAACGCUGGCGGCGUGCUUAACACAUGCAAGUCGAACGGAAGGGCCCUGCUUUUGUGGGGUGCUCGAGUGGCGAACGGGUGAGUAACACGUGAGUAACCUGCCCUUGACUUUGGGAUAACUUCAGGAAACUGGGGCUAAUACCGGAUAGGAGCUCCUGCUGCAUGGUGGGGGUUGGAAAGUUUCGGCGGUUGGGGAUGGACUCGCGGCUUAUCAGCUUGUUGGUGGGGUAGUGGCUUACCAAGGCGAUGACGGGUAGCCGGCCUGAGAGGAGGACCGGGCACAGGGGGAUUGAGACACGGCCGAGACGCAGACGGGAGGAAGCAGUGGGGAAUAUUGCACAAUGGGGGAAAGACUGAUCUAGCGACGCCGCGGGAGGGAGGAAGGAGUUAGGGGGGUAAAGAUCUUUGACCAGGGAAGAGAGUGACAGUAAAGGGAGAAGGAGCUACGGCUAAAUCCGUG
rnacentral:rRNA from 1 species